UAGAGCAAUGGAUUGAAGCUCCAUGUGUCGGCGGUUCGAUUCCGUCUCGCGCCA
rfam:Streptococcus uberis strain CAIM 1894 contig_096, whole genome shotgun sequence.